rnacentral:rRNA from 1 species
CGGACGUGGUGAGGUAACACGUGGGUAACCUACCUAUAAGACUGGAAUAACUCCGGGAAACCGGGGCUAAUGCCGGGAUAACAUAUCGAACCGCAUGGUUCGAUAGUGAAAGACGGUCUUGCUGUCACUUAUAGAUGGACCCGCGCCGUAUUAGCUAGUUGGUGAGGUAACGNGCUCACCAAGGCAACGAUACAGUAGCCGACCUGAGAGGGUGAUCGGCCACACUGGAACUGAGACACGGUCCAGACUCCUACGGGAGGCAGCAGUAGGGAAUCUUCCGCAAUGGGCGAAAGCCUGACGGAGCAACGCCGCGUGAGUGAUGAAGGUCUUCGGAUC